ensembl:ncRNA F09C12.14 ncRNA
GUUUUUCGAUUCUCUAGUUUUCAAGUGUUUUUGUCUUUGAUUUGUGCCGUCGAGAUGUCGUCAGAAUAGGAGCAAAAAUGGAGAGGAAAAGAUAGAGGAAACGAUGAUGAAAAAAAGAAAAAGACCGGAGCAAUUUGUGGAGCAAUAGUUAGCUCUUUCUCUUGUCUAAGCACAGAAAAGAGACAUUGAUGGUGCUCUCUGCCACCAGGUUUGGAAAACCGACUCGAUUAGAGAGGAGGAAUGUCUCUUUUGGAAUGUGUAGCAACAUGCAAACCAAUUGUUUCUUUUAUGGAAAAAAAAGAAUAGAAGAGGAAAUGCGAGAUGAAGGAAAAAAAUGAAGAAGCAGGAAAGGUUUAAACAUCUUCCAGGUCAUAUUCUUUAUUAUUU